rnacentral:misc_RNA from 1 species
GACGAGGGGUCCUAGCGUUGUUCGGAAUCAUUGGGCGUAAAGCGCAUGUAGGCGGCUUAGUAAGUCAGAUGUGAAAGCCCCGGGCUCAACCUGGGAAGUGCAUUUGAUACUGCUAGGCUAGAAUAUCAGAGGGGGUAGUGGAAUUCCUGGUGUAGUGGUGAAAUACGUAGAUAUCAGGAGGAACACCAGUGGCGAAGGCGGCUACCUGGCUGAAUAUUGACGCUGAGAUGCGAAAGCGUGGGGAGCAAACAGG